ensembl:lincRNA
GCCCUUUGGCCCCCACUGGCUGCUUCUCCUAUUUCAAUUUCCAUGUCCUCUCGGUUUUGUAACUCAAGGAGCUCCCCUGGCUUAGGAACAGCUGACAACUCCACAGCUCCCAGCAGUGGCACCUGGAGAAGGGGCGGAUGGGCACUGACUUGUGGGCGUGCUCUGGGGCACCCUGUCCCCAGCUGUCAUGAGUCAUUUACAAGCAAAGAACAAGCACAUGACCAAGGACAAAGAGAACAUCUUGACCAUGUAAGUAAUGAUGACCACUCUGUCCCCAGCUCGCGGGGACCCUGAAGACUCCAGGUUGCCUCUCUGUAUUGGCCCCUGAUUCAAACAGAUGGCAGGGGGGUGUGUCUGAAGGAGCUGGGUGCUGAUGUCAGGAGCCCAGCACCCUUGUGGAAGCCAAGAACGACACUGAGGGGGCAAGAAGAGAUUGUGAUGAGCUGAGUGAUGGUGUUGUCUCCCAGCACGCACAAGGGCUGGUGCGGCAGCUGGUGACCUGAGAGGCAGGGCUAGUCCCAGCAGGGAGGUGCUCAUAGAAGGGAGAGAGUUUUGGUGAGGAGAGGUAGCACAGUCAUCCUCCACCCAGUGUGUCCUGGGAGAUGCCUGCGGGGUGGAAGUUGGAUGAUCCGGCUAUGAUUGGGUCAAUCUGAUUCAAGGAGAGGGAGGAGAGGUGACGUGGCCAGAAGGAGGGCAGGAGGGUGGAUGGCAGAGAAUGCAGCCAGCCACCUGGGCCAUCCCCCUGACCUCUGCUCACUCAUCCUUUCCCACCCCUGGGCUGAGGAUGCACCUCGUUAGGUAGUUUUCAGAUGAGUAAACUGAGGCAGGAGCCAUUCCAGGCCCAGAGGGGAGAGCAAGGAAGCCAAGCGUUGUAAUCCCUGGGUUAGUUAUUCAUUCACACCCAGGGGAAAUGCUCCAGCCCUGCCACUCACUAUUUUAAAAGGCUCAAGUGUUCUGAUUCCUGGCAGCGGCAAUGCGGUAAUGCUUCUUUCCUGGUCCCUCCCUGACCCUUUCUGCCCUCAUGCUUGGGGGCUUGGCCCUGCUUUUCCC